rnacentral:tRNA from 1 species
AAGAUUUUAAGUUAAAAAAACUAUUUACCUUCAAAGUAAAAAUUAUUCCAAAUAAAUCUUA